UACAUGGGGUGCAAACGUUGCUCGGAAUUAUUGGGCGUAAAGCGCACGUAGGCGGCUUGGUAUGUCGGGUGUGAAAUCCCCGGGCUCAACCUGGGAACUGCAUCCGAAACUGCCUUGCUAGAGUAUGGGAGAGGGAAGUGGAAUUUCCGGUGUAGCGGUGAAAUGCGUAGAUAUCGGAAGGAACAUCAGUGGCGAAGGCGGUUCUCUGGGCCUUACCUGACGCUGAGGAGCGAAAGCGUGGGGAGCGAACAGG
rnacentral:rRNA from 1 species